rnacentral:rRNA from 1 species
GCCGGUAGUAACCGGAGGAAGUGGGGAUGACGUCAAGUCCUCAUGGCCCUUAUAGGUGGGGCUACACACGUCAUACAAUGGCUGGUACAAAGGGUUGCCAACCCGCGAGGGGGAGCCAAUCCCAUAAAGCCAGUCGUAGUCCGGAUCGUAGUCUGCAACUCGACUACGUGAAGUCGGAAUCGCUAGUAAUCGUGGAUCAGAAUGUCACGGUGAAUACGUUCCCGGGUCUU